rnacentral:misc_RNA from 1 species
GAUGAAGAACGUAGCGAAAUGCGAUACGUAGUGUGAAUUGCAGAAUUCAGUGAAUCAUCGAAUCUUUGAACGCACAUUGCACCUCUCGGUAUUCCGGGAGGUAUGCCUGUUCGAGCGUCAUUUGUACCCUCAAGCUCUGCUUGGUGUUGGGUGUUUGUUCCGCCUCUGUGUGUGAACUCGUCUCAAAACAAUUGGCAGCCGGCGUACUUGUUUCGGAGCGCAGCACAUUUUGCGAUCCAGAUCAACGUACAGCGGCAUCCAAGAAGCCUUAUUUAACGCUCUUGACCUCGGAUCAGGUAGGGAUACCCGCUGAACUUAAGCAUAUCAAUAAGCGGAGGA